GAGGAAUAUUGGGCAAUGGGCGCAAGCCUGACCCAGCCAUGCCGCGUGAAGGAUGAAUGCCCUAUGGGUUGUAAACUUCUUUUGUACGGGACGAAACUCCUGGUCGUGACCGGGAUUGACUGUACCGUGCGAAUAAGCAUCGGCUAACUCCGUGCCAGCAGCCGCGGUAAUACGGAGGAUGCAAGCGUUAUCCGGAUUCAUUGGGUUUAAAGGGUGCGUAGGCGGAAUAAUAAGUCAGUGGUGAAAGCCUGCGGCUUAACCGUAGAAUUGCCAUUGAUACUGUUAUUCUUGAGUAUAGUUGAGGUGGGCGGAAUGUGUAAUGUAGCGGUGAAAUGCUUAGAUAUUACACAGAACACCAAUUGCGAAGGCAGCUCACUAAGCUGUUACUGACGCUGAGGCACGAAAGCGUGGGGAGCAAAC
rnacentral:rRNA from 1 species